GGCGGAACCCCUGAGCUAAAUCCUCGGCCCUCUACUGAGGCAAACCAGACAGCCAGCCGGGCGGAGGUCACAAGAACCCGUGCUAACAGGUGGCGCGAGACAUUUCCUCGGCGAGGACACGUGCAGGACGCCGGGCGGAGCACUGUACGGGGACCAAUCAGAAAGCAUUUUCUCAGGCUUUCAUUUGAAUCGGGACCAAUCAGAAGAUGCUACUCCCGGUUUCAUCAGUAAUGGAAAUAACAAUAACAAAGACCGUUGACAAGAGCCAUUUACGUUCCUACCCGUGGACUAGCUGGCACCACGGAAGCAGCGGGCCUAUAAUAUGGACAGAGCUCAGACCGGAAGUGUGGCCAGGAGAUUUUCCUGUAAACAGAGCCUCCUGUUAGAGAAGAUAUUUAGCAGAUAGCUGGGACAGUGGUGCAUGCCUGUCAUUCCAGUACUCUGGGGGGCUGAGGCAGGAAGAUGCCCAGUCUGAGCCCAGAGUGGGCAAGGUCGUGGAGCUGCACUUUCCCACCUGGUUCCCGAGUGGGCAGGACGGCCUCAUGUCCUGCACGGUGGAACCCUGGCUUCCUCCUCCUGCUGGCUCCUGCCUGACGUUGGCCCUGGAGGGACCCUGAAGGCCUCUUCGUGCGCAGAUCAUUGCUAGAAAUGAAGUUCCCGGGUCAGAGAGCACAAGUCAUUUCGAGAUUCAAAGAGCCACGAGAGAAGCUCCUCCCUGGAGGGAGGGCCGACGGCCCACCGCAACUUCUCUCUUCCGGCUUCUGCAGAAGUACGUGAGUAACCCAUCCCAGUGAUUCACUAUGUCCGAGAUAGAUCACCCGCACAUGAGAGCACAAAAUGCAGAAAAAGCUGCUUUGGUCCUUUCGAUUGCAUUUAUUUGACUCCAUCCAAAGAGGCUAUGCUAUCCCUGCCCCGGGCGGUGCCCUGACACCCACCCGGACCACAGCCGGGCCGGACCUGGGGGACACAGGGAGGGAGAGCGUGCCCAGCGUCUGCCUUCGCUCCCAGGGCUCCGGGCCCUGGGGAGGGUCGCUCAGGCCACAAGUCAGGGAAGAGAGGCUGCAGACCCAAACGUGGGGAUGCAGACAGCUCAGGGCUGGCGGGGCCUGGCUGUGGGUGGGGGAGCCUGCUGCCUGGAGCGGGGUGUCUGGGGUCUCCAGCCAGGGCCAGGGAGGGCUGCGAGAGAGAAGAACCCAGUUCCAGCAAACUAGGGAGAGUCGGCCUGCAGGGGAAAGGUGGGGAGAGGGCGGAGGCACCAGGCAGGAAGGGAAGCGACAAGGCCAUGAGAGGGAAGGCACAGUUCACGACAGGUUUCCUUGGGAGCCCAAGGAUCUUGUAUCCUUCACAAGACCCCAGGGGAUCCGUUUCCUCUUCCUGUCCUUC